CUAUUAAACAAGCAAACAUAUUCUUUUCUAAACGCACCCCAUCAAACGUACACACAAUAAUUUCAGACUAUUAGAGCCACACGAUUAGGGAUACUCAUUUAGAUCUAGCCGUCAGAAUAACAACUAACCCUCAACCAAAAGUACAUCUAUCAAUUUUAGUGGGCGGACGAAAACUCUGCCGGCCAUCGUACGCACGAGCGAAUGAAAAGUUCUCGACACCCACCUAAUCUCACCCCUAAAUUAGCGCUAACCUCCCAAUCUCACCCCAAAUUUAGCGCUAACCUCUCUGGUCGCACAAAUCUCCUCCAAGCAGAGUGGACGCGCCGUGGGCGGCCACUGGCGAUGAGGUCGCGCGCGAUCCCCGCUCCACCUCGCCUCUCCGGCUGCACAGGUCUCCUCCCCAGGCACGACGUGGGUGCACGCAGACGCAGGGCGGUCGCCGGCGAACGAGGCCGCACGCGAGACCGCGGCGAGGCGGCGCGGAGCCCUCUGCUCCCUCCAGUUUGUGAUCUGCUCAUCUGCAUCGGUCACCUCCAUCGCCACCGCGAGUCACCUCCUCCGCCGCCGCCAGGAAUCCCAUCGACGGCAAGGUCAUCACGCCCUGCUUGCUGCGUGUGUGUGGUGUGCUGUGUGGGUGCUUAAUGCUGAGUGCUUUCCAGCUUGUCGCUGAUGGCCCGCUGCUGUUGCUUUGUUGUAUAGUAGUAUGAUUUUUGAGUCAGACUAUGAUCCAUGCACUUAAGGGAAGGGAUUAUGAUGCUGCUGAACUGGGAGUCCUUUAUCUUGAAGCCAGAAGUUUGGUAUUGGCUGAUGUUCCCCUUAGCGUUUGGGCAUUUCAAGCCCCUUACUUAAGCGAUUUACAUGUGCACAAGUUUAAGUGGAAUACAUUUUUCUGUUCAAGAAAAACUUGCUGGAUUAAUUUGUUUUAUCUGGCGAUGAAGUGAUGGUGCACGAGGACGGACUUCCUAGAUAAGAAAAUGUCUGUGCUCUUCUCGAUGGUGCAAAGUUGAGGAUGGUGCUGAAAUUUUGGGAGAGAUGGAGAACAUGGAGCCUUGGGUAGCUGAAGUACAUCCUUCCUUAAGCGUAAGAUGCGUUCUGGUUCAUAGGUAAAUCAUGAAGCAAAACUUUGUUGCUUUUUCAAUUUUUCUCUAUGAAGCAAGAUGGUCUGCAUUUUAACAGUACACGAAUAUAAAAUAGGGAUGGUUAAAACAAUGGCUCAAGUUUUGAUUUGCUAGUUAAAACAAUGUUAAAAAAUAGGAUUGUUUUGUGCUCUCUUCGGAUAUUAAUCCAAUUAGGCUUAGCGGUAUAUGAAUGCACAAGCUCUUUAGGAAAGCCAAAAGAGAAAAUGGAAAACUAUUACAUGUCUAUUUGUCCAAACAACGUAAAUCGAGACUUCUAUCUUGCCAAAACCUCUUAUUAUUGCGUUCAUUUUCUUCCUAUUGUUUACAUGUCACCUCUUUGUUGGUUGUUGUUUGGUGCCAAGGCCAUUAGAAAAGAGUAAUGCCUCAAACAAGGUAGUUCUGAAGAUAGAACUCAGGGUAGCUACCAUCGAUGAUGCUUUCCAGCAAGCUCCUGGGUGACUACUCGAUGCCGACCAUUGUUGGUUUCCUUCAUGGCUAUUGUAAAAUGAUGAUUCAUAUAUCACAUGCUCUUUAUUGGUA